rnacentral:rRNA from 1 species
CCCAACUAUCCCUAUUAAUCAUUACGUCAAUCCUAGAAACCAACAAAAUAGGAUCGAUCGUCCUAUUUCAUUAUUCCAUGCUAAUGUAUUCAAGCGUUAGCCUGCUUUAAACACUCUAAUUUUUUCAAAGUAACAGUCCUGUUUCCCCGCAACACCAAAUUAAUGGCAUUACGGUUCUUCAGGAAGGAGGAAUCAGUGAGACCAGUACAUACCUGUGGCACGACCAGCCUACUGACCCCGAAAUUCAACUA